UACGUAGGGUGCGAGCGUUGUCCGGAAUUACUGGGCGUAAAGAGCUCGUAGGUGGUUUGUCGCGUUGUUCGUGAAAACCGGGGGCUUAACUCUCGGCGUGCGGGCGAUACGGGCAGACUGGAGUACUGCAGGGGAGACUGGAAUUCCUGGUGUAGCGGUGGAAUGCGCAGAUAUCAGGAGGAACACCGGUGGCGAAGGCGGGUCUCUGGGACGGUACUGACGCUGAGACGCGAAAGCGUGGGGAGCGAACAGG
rnacentral:rRNA from 1 species